rnacentral:lncRNA from 1 species
AUGGAACCCCGACGUCGCGUAGUCCUUUUUGCUACCCCCGUUGCUUUUGUUGAGCCUCGGGUGCUCUACGGCGAAGCUGUGGAUGUCGUAAUGCGACACGCUUUCCCUGUGGGGCGGAGGGAAGAGCUGGUCUGCUUUGCCAAAAUAAUCAGUCUCUGCAAAGCGGCCCGGCCUGGCGGGGCUGUAGGCGUCCCUGCUGGUUCCCGGUUGGUUGGGAUCUUCCUCAUACACCUCCGCGUCCCAAGAGAGGUGGGAAUGGGCGUAUUUCAUGUGCUCUUUGAGGAUGUUCUCGUUGGGCGCCGGGAAGCUGCAGAGCACGCAGGUGCUGAGCCCUUUGCCGUGCGGAGGUGCCUGCACUUGCAGGGGCAUGUGCUCAUUGGGUUUGAAGUGUUUGUACAUACCGUGCACGGGGCUAUCCUGCAGCUCUCCGCCUCCGUAGAGAUUCAAGCUCUUCGCCCCUUGGUCCUUCCUCUCCUUGACGUGCAUCUUGGCGUGCUGCACGAAGAUCUUGGAGGAGUUGGUGCCGAAGACGCACUUGGGGCACUGCAGCCGGGCUUCCCGACCUUCGUCCGGGAACUCGUUCAGCUUCUGGAUCUCCUCGAUGAUUUUUUCCCUGGAUUCCUGGUGGAGCCUUUUGUGCUGCUCCAGGGACGCGAGGUCCCCGAACGCCCACCCGCACUCAUUGCAGCAGAACUGGCACUGCCCCCCGAGAGCAUCCCCAUCUUGGUCCCUCCCUGGUCCGCGGUUGUGCUGGAGCAUGUGAUCCAUCAGGUGCUCCUUCUUCUUGAAGUAGAUGCUGCACUCGAUGCACGUGUACACCGUGGGGUCCUCCUCAGGGCCCAGCUCCUCUUUGCCCUGCUCCUCCACCAGCACGCUGCACACAUAGGGCCUCAUCUCCACCUCAUAGGAGCUGCAGGGAGUGGGCUCCAGGGACAUCAAUGGGAUCCUCUCCACCGAAUCCUCAGAAUUCACCGUCCACGACUGCUUGCCGACGGCGAGGUCGGCGCUGAGCUGCAGAGCUGGCUUUGGGAUGGUCCACUCAGCUGCGCUGAGCGCGCCCAUCUCACCCGCGUCCGAGUCGACCCCCAGCCCCUUCCUGUGGGACGAGGGGGUCUCGAGGGUUUUGGACUUGCUGAGGACAGGGUUCAGAGAUUUCCUGAACACCGUCGGAGUCAGCGGAGGAGGCACUUCACGCACAGCCUGUCCCCGGAAGGGUACGCUGCUUGCUACAUCCGUCGGCUUGCUCACGUCUUUGUAGUGAGGACUCGGGCUUCUGUUGGGCCGAGAAAUCCAGUCGACCCUCUGGAUCCCCCUCCUGCUUUUCUCUAA